AACCGUAGAAGUGUUAGCCGCGUUGAGGACGUUAACAUGGAGGUUCUAAAAUGGUUUGUAUGUGAGCCGGUCUCAACUAGGCGAGAGCCGAAAGGAAAACAUACAAG
rnacentral:sRNA from 1 species